UCCCCUCGCCCACGGCUCUGGCGCGCAUGCGCGGUGGCCAUUCGCUCACCGUUGCCGGGUAACUCUACCCUCGGCCCUCAGUUUCCACAGCAGGUUCCGCCGAUUAUUGACGCUGGGGGCCCCGAAGUAGCUGGGCCGCCGCGCUCGACUCUUCAGGGCUGGGCCUCCAGCGGCGACAGAAGAGGGUAACGAGUGUAAAGCGGCCGUACCGGUCCCGGCCGCGCCCCUCCGAGGCUGGAUAAACUCAAUCGUUUGGCGCGCGCGCAAGAGAGGGAGCGAGCGGAUGCCUCUCACUCACACUUCGUAGCUCUCGAGUUACUCCGCGGAUGAAUUCUUCAACCGUAAUAGCAAAAAGCGGCAGUCUCGAAGAGGAAGUGAUGUAGUCGUGACUGACAGGGCGCGGAACGGGAGGACAUCGCCCCUCCUGUUUCUUCCUUUCCCCCGUCCCGCCCUCCCCGGUAGGAAGUGGCGUAAUAGGAUGAUGGGAGAGAGAGAGAGGAGUUUGUGUGAAGAAUGCUGAUGCAUUCGCCAGAAUAGAUCGGAUUAGGAACUGCUGGGGGUGGGGGGUGGGAUAUCCUUGAAGCUGCAGAGAACUUACGAGCCUUUUACGAGAACUUUUUCAUGAACUGCCAAGUAGAAUCCUAACGCAUGUAGCCCUCUCUGGAGUAAAAUGAUUAAAUCAUCACCUGUUGAAUUUAUGAAAGUAACUCAGCUGUCGAAAGGACAAAAGCCUAAUUGUGGGAAGGAGCCUUAAUUAUGCCUUUUGGAACUCUGCAGUAAUUGAAGAAAACUGCUUUUUUCUGCUUCCAGGAUCCAUCAUGUCUGACAAACCGGAUUUUGCAGAAAUUGAAACGUUUGAUAAGACCAAACUGAAAAAGACUGAAACCAAAGAGAAGAAUUCACUGCCUACUAAGGAAACCAUUGAACAGGAAAAACAAAGCAAAAACACACCCUGAUGUUGAAUCAGAAGAUAUGGCNGACAUCUCCUGCAGUGGGACUUUAAAUUUUAUUAUUUUAACUUUGUUUUUAGUUAGUUGGGUGUUCCCUUUUCAAAGAUAGCAGGGAUCUUUUAAGUCAAAUGUCCUAAAAUCAAUCACAUCAACUUUUGUAAGUACCCAAAGGGACUACAACCUACUAAAAAAAGUGCACUUUUGUUGUCUGUUAAUUGAAAACAUUAUUUUCAUAUUAUAGUAAGUGAUGUAGAACUGCACAAUAAAUCAUGUUCUCUUGUG
rnacentral:lncRNA from 1 species